rnacentral:tRNA from 1 species
UCCCAUGUGGUCUAGUGGCUAGGAUCUGGCGUUUUCACCGCCACGGCCCGGGUUCGAUUCCCGGCGUGGGAA